GAUGAACGCUGGCGGCGUGCCUAAUACAUGCAAGUCGAGCGAACGGACGAGAAGCUUGCUUUUCUGAUGUUAGCGGCGGACGGGUGAGUAACACGUGGAUAACCUACCUAUAAGACUGGGAUAACUUCGGGAAACCGGAGCUAAUACCGGAUAAUAUUUUGAACCGCAUGGUUCAAAAGUGAAAGACGGUCUUGCUGUCACUUAUAGAUGGAUCCGCGCUGCAUUAGCUAGUUGGUAAGGUAACGGCUUACCAAGGCAACGAUGCAUAGCCGACCUGAGAGGGUGAUCGGCCACACUGGAACGGAGACACGGUCCAGACUCCUACGGGAGGCAGCAGUAGGGAAUCUUCCGCAAUGGGCGAAAGCAUGACGGAGCAACGCCGCGUGAGUGAUGAAGGUCUUCGGAUCGUAAAACUCUGUUAUUAGGGAAGAACAGAUGUGUAAGUAACUGUGCACAUCUUGACGGUACCUAAUCAGAAAGCCACGGCUAACUACGUG
rnacentral:rRNA from 1 species